UAUAAACCCCAUAGGAGGUCAGCCAGCUGAGUAUCCAGUUUAAAGUUCAGAGUUGAAACUCACAGCACCAAGCAAAAAGGAAGCAGAUCAAGGGUAGCCGAGCGAGCAGAGGUUGUCAAUUACGUGCCUUAAUAUGAGUCAUUGGAAGCAGCCGUCGAAACUCGCCAUGCUUGUAGUACUGCUGCUGCUGCUAUGUCAUGCAGUGGACAAAGUCCAUUGCUCGACGCACCAUAACAACAGCCAAGAUUUUCAUUCCCUGCUUGAGUUUCACAAGGGCAUCACCAGUGAUCCGAACGAAGCCUUGAGCAAUUGGAACCCCAGCAUCCACUUCUGCCAUUGGCAUGGUGUGAACUGCAGUUUCACUCGACCAUAUCGAGUCACGGAGCUCAAUCUCACCGGCCAAAACUUGGCUGGCCAAAUCAGCUCCUCUCUUGGAAACCUGACCUUCCUUCAUACCCUUGAUCUUAGCUACAAUAGCUUCAGUGGCCCCCUACCUCUUCUUAACAAGCUCCGAAACCUGGACGUACUCUUUCUGGGAAGCAACCAUUUGGGGGAUGUUAUUCCCGAUUGGCUUACAAACUCUUCCAACUUAGUUGAUCUAGAUCUCUCUGAAAACAAUCUCACCGGCCAUAUUCCUUCAAACAUAGGCUUCCUAACGAAGCUAGAAGGUAUAGCCCUUUACAAUAAUAAUCUCACCGGUGUCAUCCCACCAACCUUGGGAAACAUCUCCACACUAGAGGUAGUUGAUUUUUCAGCGAAUCAACUAAGCGGAAGCAUUCCUAAUAAAGUUUGGCAAAUCUCAAACAUAACAAUGUUAAAUCUAGGACAAAAUAACCUAUCAGGUGGAAUCCCAGAUACUCUCUCUAACUUCUCUUCUCUUACAGCAUUAGGCUUGAACAACAAUAAGCUAGGCAGCGCAUUGCCAUCAAACAUUGGCGAUGUGUUCCGUCAUCUAAAUGAACUAUACUUAGAUAACAACAUUUUUGUGGGUACAAUUCCAACUUCCCUAGGUAAUCCUUCGAGUCUAGAAGCCCUAGACCUAUCAAACAAUCAUUUCAGUGGCAAAAUCCCAAGUUCUUUUGGAAGACUUUCAAAGUUACAGAUUUUAAACCUUGAGCUAAACAUGCUUGAAGCAAGGGAUAGUGAAGGCUGGCAAUUCUUUGAUGCCCUGGCAAACUGUAGUUCCCUGAAUAUACUUUCAGUGUCUCAAAAUCUUCUACAUGGACCUAUACCAAAUUCGAUUUCAAAUCUGUCCACCACUCUUCAAUACCUAAUGAUGGCUUCGAACAACCUAUCAGGAACCGUUCCCCCAACUAUUGGAAAAUUUAGUGGCUUGAUUAAAUUAUCACUUGCAAACAACAACCUUACAGGUACCAUUGAGGAAUGGGUCGGAAACAUGACAAAACUACAAAUCUUAGGACUACAAUCGAACAACUUUGCAGGGGAAAUUCCUCCUUCAAUUGGCAAUCUUACACAGUUGAUACACUUCUCUAUAGCCAGGAACAAUUUCUUCGGCUCUGUACCCAUCUAACUUGUGCAAUCUUAAAUUAAUGUCGUGGUUGGACCUUAGCCAUAACAAUUUCCAAGGGAGCAUACCUGUUCAGUUUGGUAACUCAGAACUCAUGUCGCUAAAUCUUUCAUCAAACAAAUUCAGCGGCGAAAUUCCUGAAACUUUAGGACAUAUCGAACAAUUAACGGUCAUUCAAAUGGACCAAAACAAUCUUACUGGAAACAUCCGUCCACAUUGAGGAAUCUAUACAGCUUGAGCUUGCUCACCCCAUAACAAUUUAUCCGGCCUAAUGCCAACUUUUCUAAGUGGUCUAAAUCUCAGUAAACUAGAUCUAUCCUACAAUAGUUUCCAAGGAGUAAUACCUACAACCGGUCUAUUCGAUAAUUCUACAGUUGUUUCGCUAGAUGGGAAUCCGAGAUUAUGUGGAGGAGCCAUGGAUUUGCAUAUGCCUCCAUGCCAUGUUGCUUCAAGAAGAGCACGCAGAGCAAGCUUAUUGAUUGAAAUAUUGAUCCCAAUAUUUGGGUUCAUGUCACUCGUAUUGCUGGUGCACAUUUUACUCCUAGAGAAGAGGCAGUCAAGAAGACUAUGGAUCGAAGCAAUCAUUUGAGGAAGAUAUGGUUCGGUGUACCGAGGGAAGCUGAAGGAAAUGGAAGUGGCAGUAAAGGUUUUUGACCUGGAGAUGAGAGGAGCAGAAAGAAGCUUCUUGUCAGAGUGUGAAGCAUUGAGAAGCAUUCAACACCGGAAUCUUAUCCCCAUCAUAACUGCUUGCUCAAUAGUAGGUACUUUCAAAGCUUUAAUUUUUGAGUUCAUGUCUAAUGGCAACCUGGACACAUGGCUACGUCACAAAGGAGACGAGGAGGCUACAAGGUGUCUUGGCUUAACUCAAAGAAUAAACAUAGUUGUUAAUAUAGCUGAUGCAUUGGAUUAUUUGCACCAUGGUUGUGGGCGGCCAACUGUUCACUGUGACUUGAAACCCAGCAAUAUACUUCUAGAUGAUGACAUGAAUGCUCUCUUGGGAGAUUUUGGAAUUGCAAGUUUCUAUUAUGAUUUUGAGACAAAAUGGACAUGUUCAAGUAGUUCAAUUGGUAUAAAGGGAACAAUUGGAUAUAUUCCUCCAGAAUACGGAGUAGGUGGCCAUGCAUCAACAUGUGGGGAUGUUUAUAGUUUUGGGAUUGUGUUGUUGGAGAUUUUGACGAGUAAAAGGCCAACAGACCCUAUGUUCGAAGAUGGCUUAAACAUCAUCAACUUUGUGGAGAACAACUUUCCGAAUCAAAUAUUUCAAGUCAUUGACGCUCACCUCCUGGAAGAAUGCAGGAACUCAACUCAAGGAAAUAAUUUGGUACAAGAAAAUGAAAUCUAUCAGUGCUUGGUUGAUCUGCUGCAAUUAGCACUUUCAUGCAUUUGCCCAUUACCAUCUGAACGAUUGAACAUGAAGCAAGUAGCCAGCAGAAUGCAUGAAAUAAAAAAACAUCACAUAUUAGGUGGAAGCACAAGUAAUAAUAGCAAGGGCGACAGAUCCAGAAUAUAAAUCUUCCUAUGGUGAAGCUCCCAAAAUUUGAAUUAAGGCCCUAUGUGGGAGGGUUAUACUUCAAAAAAUGUAGUUUCGGUUUUCCAGCUUCACCAUGAAACAACUUAAUAGAUUAGUAAGGCGUGGUUCAAGUGUGUUUGGCUUGCACAUAGACUCCAGCUUCUAUAAUACAAUUAAUUUUUGUAAGUUUACUUAAUUACCCUUAAUGAUUAGCGAGUGGAGAAAGAGACACAAAUCGGUAGUUCUUAUAAAUCAAUGGCGUAUUGGAUAAUUUUGGUGCAACUUCAGAGAAGUAUAAAAAUAGUGUUUUUGAAACAACCUUUGAAAAGCUUCGAAAAUUUUAUGAAACUAGCCUCUAGUUUUAGUUUUUUAAAGCUAGAGCUAGCUGAGCUGGGCCUGUUUGGAUAGAAGCUGAAAUAGGCUUGAAAUUCUUGAAGUGAAGCUCUCCCAAAUAGGGUCUAUAUAUAAUAUGAGCAUAAUGAAUAUUUGGCAUAUGCAAAGAGCUAGGGCCUACAAAGCUUGUAUCUAUAAAUAGGUCCCAGUUAGAUAAAAUCGGUUAGGGAGCGCUUAUCACUUCAAGUCGAAAGACUAUAAAAUGUACAUUUCAUGAUAAUAAUAAUUAUAAGGCAGACAUUCACCCAAGAAACAUGUGCUUCUCAUCUCACGCAUCGUCGCCCCUUGACCAAGGGUUUCCUAAGAUAAGUCCCAUGAUGCCAUGGCUCAAUCUCUUGUAGAUUUCAUCAAGACAAUAUGAUGUUGUCACCUUACCUAGUAGAUCUUGGACUAAUCGUUGUGGUUGGCAAGAUCUGCUAGUUAUCUUGUGUAGUAUCAAUUUAUUUCAUGCUGAGCUUAAUGUUAUUAGAUUGAUCUUGCAUGACCAAACAUGUAUCUCUUGUACAAUUGCUACAAUCCACAACAUGAGAAUGCAACAUGUGUAUGUAGCAACUCGAGAGUUUGAUAUGCAUAUGGCAUCUUACCUUACAUUCUUUAGUCACAUUGUUUAUUCUGGAUGAACUUUUUUUGAGGUCCUUAUCUAUGUUUGCUUGCAUGACCAUCAAUAUACCGACUACAAAUGUUCCUAGGGUAAUUGGCAUGAUACAUAAUAUAGAUUGGAUCUAGGAUGUUCCUAUGAAUGAUUUACUAUUUAUUUGGCCCUAGAUUUGGUUGAUAGUGUGUUUAAUCCUGGUGUCUUCUUAGCCUAUUGUUGCGCUCGUGGUUGUGCAUGUUUACUUUUGCUUUCAAUGAAUGUUUACUUUCACUUAUUUAGUUGAUACCGACCUAGAAAAGCUGACAAUAACCUCAAGGUAGCGUGUUAAUGUAAUUAGUACAUGCUGAUCCACAUGAUAUGGCAGGAAUUUGAUGUUUUAAUCUGUUAUUGUGCAUCUAUAGAGUAAUUUAAUGACUACAUUACACCCUCCCUACUUGAUAGAUCAAGCCAAGUGGCAUGCUUAGAACCCACUAACAACCUCUUGCAAUUAGAAGCAGUCGGAGCCACAACAAAGAGAGAUGACCACAAUACCAAUGCAUCUCUUGUCUCCUUGUGUGUCGACUGUGUUGACGAUAAACCAUAGUUUUCCCAUGAUGAGACAUGUCAGGCACACCCGAUGAGACAUCGACAUCGACCACUGCAUCAGUCAAUUUACAUCCGCUCAGCGACAUCGGCUCAUCUUCAUUGACUUAUCUACAUCGGCUCAUUCUCGUCAACAUGACCCAAGCAAGGAAGGAGAUUCCUAGCUACAGCGACGGGAUUAAAUGUUGGCUACCAAGCAAGACUAGGCCACCCUAGCUCGAGGAGAUCAACCUAGAUAUGUUGUAAUGCUAUGACCAGGCUCUCAAGAGGCUAACCAAUGAGCUUCUUGUGUGCUUCACGUGGACUCACUCCAGUGGUGACAAACUCACCCGAAAAUUAUUGAGAUGUAACAAACUAACAUCAUCUCUAGUUGUCGAUACCACCGAUAGAGGGUGUUUGGUAUAUGUUUACCAUAUUUACUUCAUAUUCUUAGAAUAUACUGUAAGAUUAUGGGGAGGCUACACUAGCACAAAACAAAAUUUUCGACCCCAUAAACCAAGAUCUACUGCUGUUAGGUCAUGGAAUUACCACAAGACGUGCAGGACAACGAAAGCCAUCUUGAUGUAGACGAACACGUCAAGCAGUGUCGUGCAGUCGCCAGUGUCCUUCACGACCUCGUGUGGUUUUCCUAGUGCUCUAGAUGUAGCACCUCCAAGGUAUCCACAUGUAUAGGAAGGAAGCAUCGCGUACCGACCUGUUAGGUUUGCGACGGAGGCUUGGCGAGGGCGAGAUGGGCGCGACUGCUGGUUUGCUGGUGGUGAAUUAGGUUAACCCUAAGCACGCGCCAGCCCCUCAUUGUAUAUCCAUUGUAGUGGGAUUCUCACUCCGAGGCCCAUCAGCAACCCUAAAACCCAGUCUAAUUUCAGAUCCAAUCCGAGUUAGGCUUCCUUCCCCUUAAGUGUGUGACCUUGUAGGUUCACGUACACAUAGACAUGUCCUGAGUACUCAUACUUCGCCCAAUAAUUAACAACGGCCUCUAGCAAGACAUGUCAACUCCUAUGCACAUGUAAAGAUCAUAUCAGAUGAACCAUUACAACAUUACGUA